UCAGAUUGGACUCAUAUAUAAUAGGCUGGAUCAAAAUUUAACUGAUUGAGAUAACAAAAAUUUUAAAAUAAUAUAUUGAAAAAAAAACAAAAAAAUCGCUUCAUGCUUUUUUAUCUUCAAUUUCCCGCCCUAGGAGUAGCACAAGAAAGAAAUUAUUGAAUUAUUAACCUAAUAAUAAAAUAUUAGUACACCUUCCUCGUUGGAGCUUCGUACUCCGAAAAAACCGCCCACUUUAGACACUCCUCCCCCGUAAAGGUGCAUGCGAUCCAUUUCCUAACAUAUAUAAACAUGAGUUGUUUCGUGCAUCGCGAAAAAAAAAAGGGCAGGAAUCCUGCAAUAUUUAGGGAGGAAAUUAGCUAAGUGGAGUUUUGAGUAUAACAAUUACGUCAGACACCAAAAGCAAAUACUUCCAUUAAUUAGUAUAAUUUUUUAUUUUUUUUAAAAAAAACAUCAUUAAUCCCCUUUUGUUAAAAAAAAGUAUAUUUUCUGUCUUAUUUUACAUGAUCACUAGACAAAAAUAAAAUAAUAUUUCAUUAUCGUUCCAUCAUAAUUUUUCGUUAGUGAGUUGUUUUUCUUAUUUUUAGUGUAUGAUAUUUAUAUUGUCAGCCAAUUGAAAUUGAAAUACGCGUCACAAAGUCUCACAUUGAAGGGUCAAAGUGAUUUUUAAAAAAGAUAAUGUCAUAUUCAAAUCUCGAAUAAAAAAAUUUUAAUUAAAAAUAUACAGAUAAAUACUUACCGCAUCAUCACACGAACGUAGUUGAUUGUUGCUUUCACUAAUUAGCUGUAUGCUUAAUCAUGUCUUAAUCUCUCACUGUUUAAGGGUUCAAUCCAUUUCCCAUUUUUGUACAUGAAGACAAAAUGCUUUAAUUUUC
rnacentral:lncRNA from 1 species